AUGAUGGCGGUCAAAUCAGUUUGGGUUACGUUUUUGAACCGAUACCACGGUAUAAUUCCCAAAAUGAUUCCCACUUUCGCGCUCUUCGUUUUAUACAUACUGCAUGCUCAUGCUGUUCCUCAAGGUGACCCAAUUACUCAGAAUUAUGAUAAUCCAUCAACGGGCGUACCUCCAACUUCGUACCCUCCUUCAGAAGCAUCAGCUGACACACCAUUUGCAUACCAAGGGUAUCCA